rnacentral:tRNA from 1 species
GGCUACAUAGCUCAGUCGGUUAGAGCGCAGCAUUCAUAAUGCUGAUGUCCCAGGUUCAAGUCCCGGUGUAGCCAC